rnacentral:pre_miRNA from 1 species
UCCGAUUGGUUGAAAGAGCCAGAACCUAUACCGGUUUCACUUCGUGGUGAUAUGACGCAUAUUACAUUCUUUAUCACCGGGAGUAAAACUGGUAUAGGAUCUGCGACUCGCUGAUUGGAA